rnacentral:tRNA from 1 species
GCAUCUGUGGCCUACUGGUUAGGGAAUUGGACUUGUGACCAAGGGUGGCCGGUUCAAUCCCCGACUGGUAGG